rnacentral:rRNA from 1 species
AUUGAACGCUGGCGGCAUGCUUUACACAUGCAAGUCGAACGGUAGAGGGGCAACCCUUGAGAGUGGCGAACGGGUGAGUAAUGCAUCGGAACGUGCCCAGUAGUGGGGGAUAGCCCGGCGAAAGCCGGAUUAAUACCGCAUGAGACCUGAGGGUGAAAGCGGGGGAUCGCAAGACCUCGCGCUAUUGGAGCGGCCGAUGUCAGAUUAGCUAGUUGGUGGGGUAAAGGCCUACCAAGGCGACGAUCUGUAGCUGGUCUGAGAGGACGACCAGCCACACUGGGACUGAGACACGGCGCAGACUCCUACGGGAGGCAGCAGUGGGGAAUUUUGGACAAUGGGCGCAAGCCUGAUCCAGCCAUGCCGCGUGCGGGAAGAAGGCCUUCGGGUUGUAAACCGCUUUUGUCAGGGAAGAAAUCUUCUGGGCUAAUACCCUGGGAGGAUGACGGUACCUGAAGAAUAAGCACCGGCUAACUACGUGCCAGCAGCCGCAGUAAAAC